ensembl:lncRNA
CUAAACGUUUAUCCUUGUGACGGCAGUCACAGUCCUCCGCCAGUAGCAGUCAAACGGCGGAGGAGGGCAGCCCGUCCGCCUGCACCUGUCCGCUCCAGAUCGAACACCAGCAGCCGCAGCUUCUCCCACGACCGAGAGAAAGGCUUCCCCCCCCAGCCGGCCCAGCAGAGAUAUCUGCCCAGUGUGAUGAUGAGCUCUGUGGAGGAGUCGACUCGCAGCUCAGGCUGCUCAAAGGAAAAAGCUUCUGUAGCGGAGACUGAGGAGGCGGUGGCUGCCGGCGUUGAGACUGAUGAGGCGGUGGGUGCCGGCGUCGAGACUGAGGAGGCAGUGGCUGCAGGCGUCGAGACUGAGGAGGCGGUGGCGGCAGGCGUCGAGACUGAGGAGGCGGUGGCGGCAGGCGUCGAGACUGAGGAGGCGGUGGCGGCAGGCGUCGAGACUGAGGAGGCGGUGGCNNNNNNNNNNUGCAGGCGUCGAGACUGAGGAGGCGGUGGCUGCAGGCGUCGAGACUGAGGAGGCGGUGGCUGCAGGCGUUGAGACUGAGGAGGCGGUGGCUGCCGGCGUGGAGACUGAGGAGGCGGUGGCUGCCGGCGUGGAGACGGCGGCUGCCGGCGCGGAGACCGAGGAGGCGCCGGCUGCCGGCGCGGAGACCGAGGAGGCGCCGGCUGCCGGCACGGAGACCGAGGGGGCGCCGGCUGCCGGCGCGGAGACCGAGGGGGCGCCGGCUGCCGGCGUGAAGCUGACACCGGAGGAAGCCUUUCAGGCUCGCUGGUCGGAGGCCGUUAUUGCCAAGGUUCUGGAAAUCGAGACGCAAUACAGGAGCGACUGUGAGACCUUCUGCAUUGUGGUGAAGAUGUUGUUGAACAAGGAGCCCCGUUUGGGUACUUUGCUGGAAGUUCCAUUGGCCGAGAACCUGUCGGAGCUCAAAGAUCGCUACCUGGACGCCCUGAAGGAGUUUGUGGAGAAGCUGCCAGACACCUCUGCAUAA